CCUACGGGAGGCAGCCGUGAGGACUAUUGGUCAAUGGACGAGAGUCUGAACCAGCCAAGUAGCGUGAAGGAUGACUGCCCUAUGGGUUGUAAACUUCUUUUAUAUGGGAAUAAAAUGUUCCACGUGUGGGAUUUUGUAUGUACCAUAUGAAUACGGAUCGGCUAACUCCGUGCCAGCAGCCGCGGCAAUACGGAGGAUCCGAGCGUUAUCCGGAUUUAUUGGGUUUAAAGGGAGCGUAGGUGGAUUGUUAAGUCAGUUGUGAAAGUUUGCGGCUCAACCGUAAAAUUGCAGUUGAAACUGGCAGUCUUGAGUACAGUAGAGGUGGGCGGAAUGUGUGGUGUAGCGGUGAAAUGCUUAGAUAUCACGAAGAACUCCGAUUGAGAAGGCAGUUCACUGGACUGCAACUGACACUGAGGCUCGAAAGUGUGGGUAUCAAACAGGAGUAGAUACCCUAGUAGUC
rnacentral:rRNA from 1 species